rnacentral:rRNA from 1 species
CACCCUUUUCCCAGGUUAAUUAUAUCGGAGGCAUAAAAAUGGUGAAAAGAAUAUAAGUGUGGGAUGGUUCGGCAAUAAACUUGUAUUAAUGAGACAAGCUACUACCACCUAUGGCCCUCAUAAGCUUGAUACCAGAAAGAUAGGGGAGGGACCGGGAUUUGAUACCCCGUUACUCCUAUAUGUAAAUUGGUUGCCUGGGUACUACGAACUUGUGUUUAAAACCCAAAGAACUUGGCGGUGAUGCAAGUCAGUCUAGGGGAGCAUGACUGUUAAUUCGAUGGUCCUCGAAAAUCUUUCCUGCCUUUGUACAUAUCAGCUUGUAUACCGUCGUUGUCAGUCUGCCUUGAGAGGGAAACAAAGCAGGCCCAAUCUACAUAAAACUAGAUGACUUCAGAUAAACGUGCAGCCUAUAGGCAGGCCUUGGUUUUGCUACAAUUCUUAUAGAAAACGGAGACUACUAUGAAAAGGUAGUUGAAGGCGGACUUAUCUGUAAGGCCCUUAAAGAUGGCCUGAACUUGCUCAUGCAUCGCGU